AAAGAUGUGAGGGGUGGGGGGAGGCCAGUCAGAUGGACACAACUACAUUGCUGCCCUCAGCUAAAGGACUGGCAGAAUAGGUGCAUCUUGCAGGUCCUGCAGAACUGAGAUU